GAUAAACGCUGGCGGCGCACAUAAGACAUGCAAGUUGAACGGACUUAAUCGAAAUAUUUAUAUUUUGAAGCGGUUAGUGGCGGACUGGUGAGUAACGCGUAAGGAACCUGCCUAUUAGAGGGGAAUAACAGUGAGAAAUCAUUGCUAAUACCGCAUAUGCCAUAGAUAUCACAUGAUAACAGUGGGAAAGGAGCAAUCCGCUAAUAGAUGGCCUUGCGUCUGAUUAGAUAGUUGGUGGGGUAACGGCCUACCAAGUCGACGAUCAGUAGCCGGACUGAGAGGUUGAACGGCCACAUUGGGACUGAGAUACGGCCCAGACUCCUACGGGAGGCAGCAGGCGGGAAUAUUGCGCAAUGGAGGAAACUCUGACGCAGGGACGCCGCGUAUAGGAAGAAGGUUUUCGGAUUGUAAACUAUUGUCGUUAGGGAAGAGAAAGGACAGUACCUAAGGAGGAAGCUCCGGCUAACUACGUG
rnacentral:rRNA from 1 species